rnacentral:piRNA from 1 species
UUUCAAAGAUGGUACUGUUUU